rnacentral:rRNA from 1 species
AGAGUUGAUCAUGGCUCAGGAUGAACGCUAGCGACAGGCUUAGCACAUGCAAGUCGAGGGGCAGCAUAAAAGUAGCAAUACGUUGGUGGCGACCGGCGCACGGGUGAGUAACGCGUAUGCAACCUACCUAUCAGAGGGGAAUAACCCGGCGAAAGUCGGACUAAUACCGCAUAAAACAGGGGCACCGCAUGGUGAUAUUUGUUAGAGAGAUUCGCUGAUAGAUGGGCAUGCGUUCCAUUAGGUAGUUGGUGAGGUAACGGCUCACCAAGCCGACGAUGGAUAGGGGAACUGAGAGGUUGGUCCCCCACACUGGUACUGAGACACGGACCAGACUCCUACGGGAGGCAGCAGUGAGGAAUAUUGGUCAAUGGGCGGGAGCCUGAACCAGCCAAGUCCGCGUGAAGGAAGAAGGAUCUAUGGUUCGUAAACUUCUUUUACAGGGGAAUAAAGUGCAGGACGUGUCCUGUUUUGUAUGUACCCUGAGAAUAAGGAUCGGCUAACUCCGUGCCAGCAGCGGC